ACUGUAGUUAGGUGGGGUUAAGAGGUGAAAAGGGAGGUGGUGUUCAUCUUUGAAAUGAAACUGUUGCUUGGGAUUUCUUUCCAUAGGGUUUCCACGGUCACUGGCUGAGGAAAUUAAUCCAACUCAUGGCUGCAGAAAGAAUUUUGGCUCAGUUUUGAGUGCAUAAAGCAACAAUAAUUCGCAUGUUGCUGAAACUCCUUUCCUGAUGGCCAGAUCUUUCAGUGAGUCCAGUGUUUUCCUGUCACAUGAGCUUUACUGUAAAACAACAGUCGUACUGGAUGUGCAAGAUCCCUUUUCCCAGAUUGUCCAUCCCUGGAAGGUGGCUCUGUGGUCCUCACACUUCUGGUUGGGUCAUUUGUCAUCAUUAUUUUUCUCUGUAGAAAGCAAGCGGCACAGACCAGAAAGCUGAGUGAGUCCCUCCAGUCCCUU
rnacentral:lncRNA from 1 species